rnacentral:rRNA from 1 species
AUGUUGCCAUGCUUCCUUGUACUCUUUCUCCUCUUCAUCAUCCCUAUGUUCAAGCCCUAUGCCAUUGGUGAAGAUGGCUUUAGAUACGGUGAUGGCAUCCCUUUGGGCAUGCUCCGGCUUGAUGGUGUGGCUUCUAUCACAAGCGGAGCACUUAUGCUGACCAACAGCGAUCCUCAGAGGAGUGGACGGGCUUUCUCUAGGCGCUCAUUUGGCUAUAUUACCUCUUUCUCGACAACCUUUGUGUUCCUCAUCAUCCCUCCGGAUAGCAAGGAUGGGGUGAGUGCGCAUGGGCUUGCCUUUGCACUUUCAUCCACGGUGGGAUUUGUGUUCGACGCCCACCCGGGUCCGUACUUGGGCCUGACCAACAUGAAGAGCCGUGGUAAUGGCACAAAUCAACUAUUUGCUGUUGAGCUUGAUACCAUCAAGAAUCCCCAAUUUUCUGAUAUUGAUGAAAACCAUGUUGGGAUUGAUGUAAACAGCAUGGUGUCUAUCAAUUCCCACACAGCUGGUUACUACGCAUCAAAUGGUAUGUUCUCUCCCUUGAAGCUUGCUAGUGGUCAACCAAUGCAAGUAUGGGUGGAUUAUGAUGGCACCUCACACAACCUUAGUGUCAGCUUAGCACCUUAUUUAGAGCAUAAGCCUCAACGUCCACUACUAUCAAGCACUGUCAAUCUUACAUCUGUGUUGGCAAACAACUCAUUCUAUGUUGGGUUUUCAUCUUCAACCGGCCUCCUUAAGUCUAGGCACUACAUUAUUGGUUGGAGUUUCAAUACAACUGGGAAGGCUCAACCACUGAACUACACAUCUUUGUCUCAAGUUAUAGAAGAUGUUAGGCCGAAACCACAGACUCGCUCGCAUAUCCCUAGGGCCAUUAUUGUACUGGUUGUCACAAUAUCAACAGUGAUUGUGCUUCUUAUUUGUGCUGUUCUUUAUGCUCUUAGAAAGAAGGCAAGGAAUAAUUUUGAGUGGGAAAUCGAGGUUGGUCCACCAUCUUUCACAUAUAAAGAGCUAGUCAGUGCAACAAAAGGAUUCAGUGAUGCAAUGCUACUAGGGGAGGGGGGAUUUGGAAAGGUGUAUAAAGGGAUGCUACAAACCUCGAAACAAAAUGUUGCAACCAAGCGAGUUUCACCAGAGUCCAGGCAGGGGAUGAAGGAGUUCAUAUCUGAGAUUAUGAUCCUUGGUCACCUCCGCCAUCGCAACCUUGUUCAGUUGCUCGGCUAUUCUCGUCAUCGAAAUGAGCUGCUUCUAGUUUAUGAUUACAUGCCAAAUGGUAGCCUUGAUAGAUUUUUGCACGGUCAAGAUAGGCAAGACCUAGACUGGGUUUACAGAUUUAACAUUAUCAAGGGCAUCGCAUCUGGUCUCUUCUACCUCCAUUAGGAUUGGGAGAAAGUUGUCAUCCAUCGAGACAUCAAGACAAGCAACGUGCUACUCGACGGCGAAAUGAAUGCAAGACUUGGUGAUUUCGGCCUUGCAAGGUUGCACAACCACGAAAAUGGAACAGGAGCCCACGUCACAAACAUUGCCGGCACACGAGGGUACAUUGCUCCUGAGCUGGCCAUGCUUGGGAGGGCAACCAAGGCGACUGAUGUGUUUGCGUUUGGUGUGUUCAUGUUGGAGGUUGCUUGCGGGAGGCAUCCGAUAGGAGUGAGCUAUUCUGGUGAGCAGCUGUUACUAAAAGAUUGUGUGCGCCAUGCAUGGGAACGCGAUGCAAUCCUUGCAACAGUAGACCCAAGACUGGAAGAUUAUAUAACGGAGGAGGUGGAGUUAGUAUUAAAGCUUGGCCUUCUAUGCUCACACUCGAUAUCAAGUGCUAGGCCAAGCAUGCGCCUAAUUAUGCAAUACCUUGGAAAGGAUGCGCUGCUCCCAGAUUUCCCACCGAGUUUUCCAGGAAGAGAUGAAGGCUUUGAUCAAUAUAUCAGUUCAUCCAACUCUGUAGCCACGACCAUGACUUAUCUUUCAGGAGGAAGAUGA